rnacentral:misc_RNA from 1 species
GUCAAAACAUGCAGAAGAUGAUGAGAAGGGUCAAGGGAUAUGGGGAAGAAAAUGAGAAGGAAAGCGGGAAAUUUGUGUAUUUUGUGUACAAUAUAAGUUCCUACAACAUCCAACAACACAAAAGACAAAGGACACAUAAACACCAAAUUGCAGCAGUACCACUAAAGGAUAUGUCUCUCUGCAGCUUGUUUCUUCCCUAAACUUGAAAUUAAAAAGAGAGAACUUUUAUUGACAUAAACUUUAAAGGGCAGGGUUGGUAUAAUUUAAAGAGCCGGUGGUGCAAUAGUAUUAGCCGACUUUUGUUUUUCAAGCCAAGGUAUGAAGGCCUGAAAAGUGUUGGAAUCAGCCCUAUAAAAUUUUUGGGUAAGUUCAAGCAGCAUUGGCCAUGUGUAAUCUGGAAACUUCCUUGGUGGAUUCUUCUCCACCACUUCGUCCGGUGCUCUCACCACUUUGUCAGCCGCUGGACAUAGAAAGAAGGCCAUUGAUUUUCUUACUUCCUUGCAGUUCACUACAGCUCGGUGGAAGCAGCUCUUGUAAACCCCAUUUGUCAGAGCCAUGAAAGUGUCACCGAUAUUGAUGACAAAGGAGUCCUUGGUUGGAGGAAUUGAGUGCCACUCAUCAUCCACGUAGACUUGAAGGCCACUGACGUGGUCUUGGUGAAGAAUUGUUAUGGAGGUUGGAUCACAGUGAGGCCCAGUUCCCAAUGUCAGCUCUGGCUUCUCGCAUGGUGGGUAAUAAUUCAGCCUUAUUAUUGAAUCAUUGUCCUCAUAGAAUUUUUUGAACUUCUCUUUUGGAACCCCUAGGCUCAACCCCAAUAGCUCCACUAUCUUCAAACUCAGAUCACUCAAUGCUUUUCCACAUUCUUGAUACACCUUCCCUUGAUGGGAUAAUUCUGGGCCAACACAUUUAGAAACGAAAUCCUGAACAGAGGUGGAAUUAUGAUUAGCAACAUAAGGAAGGGAAAGGGUUUCCUUCCAUGGAAGAUUAUUGGAGAAUCUUCCAAUGAAGCUAUUAGCAUACCCAUAAUUUUCACCAAAUUUCCUUUGAGAUUUUUGUUUCACAUCAAAAGGCAAUGUGAAAAACUCAUCCAUACACUCAUGAACCCUUUUCAUCAAUUCCAUAUCAACUCCAUGGUUCACCAACACAAAGAAUCCAUGUUUUCUACACGCUUCAUCCACCAGCCUGGUUGCCUCUUCAAUAUCACUUUCAUUUCCAUUUAAAAACUUAUGCAAGUCAAUAUGUGGAACAUGCAGCUCCGGCGCCCCGUCUUUUGCUUUAAACUCGUCCGGCCACACGAAAUUCUCCGGCACCAUUGACUCCUCCGAACACCCGAAUUCCACACGGUGAAGCUUGCUUUUCAUCUCCUUUGAUUCGCCUGUACUCAUCAUGCAUUUCAUCGCCAUUGCAUGCAAAAACAACAAAUCAACAAGUUAUUACAAAUAUGGAAAAAAAAUUAAGCAACACACUAUUACUAUAUAUUCUG